AGUCCAUAUCACAGUGUUUCGACACUGGAAGGCCUUUGAAGCAAUCUCGCUCCUCUCUUUCACUCUUUCUUUCUCAGUGUUCCCCCCUGCGGGAGGACACACAAGUUGCGCUGUAAGGAUGAAAUUUGUUUCAUUAUCACAUAAAAGCCUCCUGGGGCGUCGGAGAAUAGAUGUGGAAAAUGGGCCAGCUUUAGGAACAAUGGGGGCCGAACGUGAUGCUCUAACCUGCUAUAUUCUAUCACUCAGCCAUUGUCAGGGGGAUACUUUUAAACUACUUAGUGUCUCCCUCUCCACUGAUUUUAACUGAUAAAACAGUUCUCCAUCGAAUAAAUCAAAACAACGGGAUGCCACUGCGACCGGCCGAAAGAAUAAAACCCCGUGGUGUUCUUUCUCACACAGUCAUCUGGUGGGUCGCGAGCCCGUACUGCAGUUCCAGUUUUACUCAACUAAACCAUUUCUGUCCCCUUGUCCAACGUACGCUCCCUCUCCGGGCGUGCAAAGUGUAUAGGCUGCCUCCCUUUCCUCUCCACAUAUCAUCUUUUAAACACUGGUGAUCUGCGAAUAAACAAAGCUAGUAAACAAUGAAAGGACAAUAUAAAUACAUACAGGAUGUGUACAUGUACAACCAAAUUCCAGGAGAGUAAACUUUGAAUAGCAAGAUGUCAUAUAUCAGUAAAUUUACACAGAUAUUAAAUUUCGCUCUGUUCAUUUUAGACAUAGUGCUAAGCUGAAUUUUUAUAGCACACUGAUCGAUAUCUUGGUAAAAUAAUCAUUUUUUAAACUAGCGGGGCAGUGAAAUCUUUGCUUUGUGCUAAAGUCAACAGUGGCAGAGUUUGAGCUCAAAUAAAUGCCGUGAUACCUCCAGCCUUGUGCAGUAGGCUUGCCGGCGAGGCUCUAAAACUGGGCUCCGCCGCUUUGGCUAAACAGCGGCAACAACUUCAUCAGGUCACUGAGGACUGUCCACGGGGGGAGGACAGGAGUGGACAGGAACGGACACAACGCUGAAGCCCGCCCAGAACCAGAACCGCCGACGGUCUCUACCGGUCGCAGUCGACCGAACCCGGUCGAGCCGGUGGCAAAUAUGAAAUAUCAAAGUGCCCGUCGGCAGCGCUCGCCGGGACAAAAGGAGAGCGGCAUUAAUGAUUAACUGCGCUAAAAGCCCCUGCUUUUGUAUUCCCAUGGAGCCCGGGCUAUCUGGCCCGCCAUGUGACAUGCUCUGGCCAUUUUCUAGCAGAUUGGGGAAAGCCAGUGAGCAAACACAGGUGCUGCGGAGUCAGUGGCGGCGCCAGGGGCAACCGCAAACAGGGCCAGCAAUGUGCCAGGCUAAAUGAGCUUUGCGUCGGCCGCCUCUCCGCUCUUCCCCGGAGGGUCCCACAUUUCAAGUCCAAUGUCUCCUGCCCCGGUUCGCAACUAUUCACACUCUGUUCCAUAGAAAAGAAUGAAGGAGAAGAAAAAAAAAACUUUACGCGCACACACAAACACACACAGACGCACACACACAUGCACACACACACACACGCAAAAAAAAAAACCAAAAAACGUGGGGGACGCGAGAGGCAGGCAGCGACUUCUUUGAAACGACGGUGUUCGGUGGCCAAGCACAGAGACAGAGCAAACUAAUUAAUGGGGUUCAAGUCUCCGAAUUUGAAAACAAAACAAAUUUAUUUUUCUCAAGUGGGGCUAUUUCUGUGACCUCCCCCGCCGGUGUCAAAUGCAAUGGCUCUCUCACUCAUGACCUAGAGGGGACGGGAUAGACCUAUAGGCCUAUGCACAAAUGCUUUGAUAAAACAACAACUUUUAAAGUGUGGUCACAUUCCUGAUUUGUAUAUUUGAUUCCCUAUGAAUAUUGAAUAGCAUGAUGUUGAGAAAUAAACUCAAAGAAGUUUUAUGAAUCCAUAAUACAAUUAAAACUGAAAUGUUUAUUCGCUUAACUUUUCUUUUUUUUAUAGGUUUCAUAAAUGCAAGAUCAUAAGCAAUUCACUGACAAACAACAGAAUGAAAGGAACAAACAAAAGAAAAACGUGUUCAAACACAAGCAUCAAUUAACAGACAGCAAUACAAUAGUAAAACAGCAAAGUAAUUGUUAAUUAACAAUCAAGUGUCAAUUACUUGAAAGUUCCAUUAAAAACUGGGAUGCAAGGAAUUCUCCCAAGUGGAUUAAAUCUAUUUGUUUUUAUUCCAGUUUUUUUUUUCUUUGCAUGCUGCAAGUUUGAUGGAGUGUCAUUUACUGUUCAAAUAUUUAUAUUAGUGCACUGCUGCUUGCCUUGUGGAAAAACUGCAGAAAUAAUGAAAAGACCAGCAAAGCAUAGAUUAUAAGAGGGAAAAGUGUAAUAAAAGGGUUAUAAAGAAAACAUGCAAAAUUAAUGCAACUGAGCAGGGUUGCCCAAUCUUCUCCAAAAUGGCCGAUAUUUGUGCUAGUUUUUGUGAAGCCCAGUACUAAGAUGCCUGAUUCUACUUAGAAAGGACUUGAUUGAAGACCCUGAUUAGUUAAUUAGUUGUAUCAGGUGUUAUAGUGUGGGGCUAAAGAAAAGCACAUUCCUGAAACAGAGUAAGCCCAAACCUAAUUAAUGAGAUGUGAUAUUAUUUGCAUAAAAUUAUCCCAUAUUGUGUAAGCAUGGUCCUGGAUCAAUGAGUUAUCUGGAUAACUGCACUGAGCUAAACCCCAGUCCAUGUUCCAAAUUUGGGGCAGUUUCGUGUUUUACUCAGUGCAGUUAUCCAGCUAACUCAGUUAUCCUGCUUUGUGGUACAGGUCCCAGCCCUUUUCAGAUAAGUUUAGACUAAAAUGUAAAAAUUGUGAGGGGAGGGUAGGAGGGGAAACCUCUUAAGUUUGGCUAUAAAUGGGUUUUUAAAUGAGGUGAGGUGUAGUGAGAAUUGGAAUCUGGCCCACUGUUGAGUAUAUUUGCCAUUCUCCUGGAAUCAGUCAAAGAAAUAUCAUUUUAUUCACAUUACCCAAAAAACACAACAUGUUAUAGAAUUAAAAAAAAAAAAGAAUAAUCUCAGCUGUGAAACUUAAGAAUUUGAUUAGAGGGCAAAUAGGCGGAUAUGACACAGUAGAAGAUUUUUUAAGAAAAAGUGUCAUCUUUACACUCCAAGUCUGUUUUUUUCAGGUUUCAGGCCUAAUUUACUCCGGAGAGCCCUGGUAAACGUUUUGACCUCGACGUAAGAUUUAAGAUCCGCAGCUCUGUUAUCAAUUCUCCAUUCUCCCUCGGAAGAUUCCCGGCCUAUUGUCGGGCGACAGCAGGGCCAUCGAAGCAGGUUUUUUUUUUUAGUAACGAGGCAGGUCGGGCAAAGCUCACCGAGAAGAACCGCGUCUCUGAAAGACCCCCUUUGAUGUGACGGGCGCGCUGCGGAAUCCCAAAAGAGCAAGCGUGCCGCACGCAGCCGCGCACCGCAUUAACCCUUUCUUUUGUCUUUGGUCCGGCCCACACCCAGAGUGAAGUGACACCCAGCCGUGCGGGAUCAUUUCAUUUGCGUGUGAUCUAUUGUGCUAAUAGCGAUAGCCUGAUUGUUCUCAGCAUGACCAGUCAUGUAGCGGAUAACAUCAGCUUGCCUUUGCUUUUGUGUUCUCCUGGAUUUCUAUGUUUCGUUUAAGAUGAAAGAAUUGUGUGCACUUGUGUGCUCAGGUAUAUCUGUAAAUUUAAGCAAAUGAUACUGUGAUUUCCCCUUGUUCCAAUACACACACAUAACAUAAUGCAACAGAAUGUGUCACAUUCUUAAUAAAACGGUAGGCCUAUAGGAACGUUGUUCAUAGCACCUAGGCCUGACAUACAGUAAAUUCAGUUGAUUGAUAGGGAAGGACAAAGCAUCAGGUGUAGACCUCUCAGAUGAAGCUGUCUUCUCAUUUGGAUCUGUGAAUUUCUGCUGUCAUUCAAAUAAAUCAUCUCACAAAAUAAAUAAAUAAAAAGUUAGCCUUAGUUUGUCUGUAAUAACACAGCAACCUUUUUUCUUCAUGAAGAUUUCGAGGCACCUUUCAAUAAUUCAAGAUUUUUUAAUGCCAGGAUGGGGAGACAUGGUAAGGUGGAUAUAGGUUUACAACCUGCAGGACUUCAGUGCACUUAAGGUCCAAGGUCAGAUCAUUUGCAUUCAAUGGAACAGAUAGUGGAGACACUUCAAAGCAGGCCUUUUUACAAACAGUGGUAAAACUGUUAUAUGGGUUUAUUAGAGGUAGCACUAAUGGCUACACUUAUCAUGGGUCAGGCUAGAACAACUCUAGGGGACUGUUAAGUAGGUGAGCUCACAACUUGCCACUCUUAAUUCUUGAAUGGAUGCCACAAAUCCAGAGUAAAAAAAAUAUUUGAAUUUAAAAGUAAAUACCUUUUCGGUAUGUUCAUUUAAAAAUUACAUUCCAAGUAAAAUAUCAAGGAGGAAUAAAGUCUUUAAAGAAAGAAACCGAGCAGAGCAUAUUCACAACUUCUGAAUUAACACACAUUAAAGAUAUGGGGUUAUAUUUAGUGUUUUCCAAGUAUUUGACAGAAACACAAGCUCACGCACAAACACACACGCGCGCACUUACGCAAACACGCACGGGCGAUAUUCAUGACCCGCAUUUUCUUCAUCAUCCACGGACAGCAUAUGGCAUCUCUACGCCUUGACGAAGAACACCACGACUAAUAAACUAAUAAAUCUGUCCCCCAGAAUGAUUCAAUGCAUCGAAGCCUGAGAGUGCGCCAGCUUCCCUUUUUUCAGUGUACAGUAUGUUCCGCUGGUCAUCACCGCCACAGUCCAGGUGUGCGUUCCCUUCAUUCAACAAUAGGCCAUUGAAUACGCCAACAUUAAUUAUUAAGCGGGUUAAGCGACGACCAUUAUUAAGUUGGAAAACAUCUUUUGAAAAACAAAAAACAACAACAACAACAACAACAAAAACACUUGAUGGAAAACCAAAUGUUCAUUUAAUUGUGAACAGACAUUUAAGAGAAAUGUUGACUGAAUUGAGACCAGCGAGUGCUGGGUCAUGCUUGGGUUCCUGCAAAUGACGGGUGUACAGCAAAACUCCUCCCUUAAUAACAGAGCGCAGACACCAGACACAGCCUGGCUGCAUUUGCUUUGGUCUUGCAAGAUCAGUCUUUUUCACCUAACAAAACCGCACCACUGUACAUCAUGUUGUCAUGCAUUAGUUUGACCACUGAUAACAAGUUAUUUACUUUGUAUGGAUUCAUAGAUGAACAUUGUGAAAAUCAUUAGCCAUGACUUAACAGGAUUUAAUCAUUUGUAGCUUUGAGUUUUGUUUCUCUUCAAACAUUGAUUGCUAGGUCCAGCAAUGGCCAAAAAUGAACUUGCCAAUUAGCCAUGUUCGUGAAGAGCAAAGGAACAUGUGCAUUUAUUUGUAAAUUCAAAAUCUAAAGACAAAUGUUAAAAGUCCAUUACCAGUCAUAAUUAUGAAAUCAAUGAAGUCACACAAAUAAUAUUUUUAGGCAGAAUUCAUUUGCAUAUUCAGAGGCAUGGAAGCUAUUUAAAAAAAAACUUGCCUCCUGCCCCAAGGCAGCAGAUUAAUACCUUACUAGAAUUUUGAGGGUAAAAAAAUGUGUUCACUGUCUGCUUCCAGACAGGAUCUGUCAUCACCAGCGCUGGUAGCAUGGUUCAGACAUGACAGACCGCAGCAGUGGGGGCCAGACAGCUUUCCAGAGCGCAGGCUGCGCAGGCAUUCAGAAGAGACCUAACUUCAGCUCAUUCUGCAGCCCGAGAAACAGACUGUACCUCCAUUUGGCAUGAUAAAACUUUCAAGCUGGUACUGCCAUUCACAUGAAAAACAGCAGACUUUUCAAGGCAGCGUAUUAGAAAGUUCCAGAAGUCAUCACAUCAUAACAACCCCUUUGUCUUGCCUGCAAAAAGAUAUGGAUUUCAUGAUUACUUUCUCUGCAGCUUGUUCGAAUAGCACAAGUGCAAUGCAGUGACUUGUCCUGGGCACGUAAAAUCUAUUACAUUAUAAUGAUACCAUCAGUGCUUAGUUACAUUUUACAGAAGAGGCACAUUGAUCCAUUAAUUUAUUUCCCUCAAUAAUAAUAAUAUUAAUAAUAAUUAUUAUGAUUAUUAUUGUUGUUAUUAUUAUUAUUAUUAUUAUUAUUAUUAUUAUUAGUAGUAGUAGUAGUAGUAUUGUUAUGUCUUUUCAUUCCUUCUUCCUUUCAUAAUUCAUGCAUCUGAGAGAAAUUAUAUAUACUCUUGCAUACUUUAAUAAGGAUGAUGGUCAAAAUAUUGCAAUUGAUUAAAUUAAAUCAAAGUAAAAUGAUCCUUUAUAGUAUACUGAAAUAGGAAAAUAAAAUAAAAAAACAGUAAGAUAAAUGUAUCCUGAUAAAUCAGAAAUUAGGGAAAGGCCAGGAAAGGUGGAGAAGUGACAUGGCUAUUGGAGGAAGGAGGCUGGUGGAGGCCGGGGCCCCUGAUCCUGGGUAGGGGGCCGGGACUGAACCGAUAAGAGAUGACAACUCAGAUGAGAUAAGGGCUGCACAUAAGAGACACUCAGAUUGGAGCUGGAUCUGAAUGUGGCACAGAUUAACACUGAGGCCCCCAGAUAGCCCGGAGACAAAGGAAAAUGUCAAUGGUGCUAAAUGGCUACUUCCUGCCCUGCUACACGAGACUGGCUGAUCGAGUAUAUAUACAUAUACAUAUAUAUAGACAUAUACAUACACGCACACACACAUGUACAAAUUCAUAUUUGUGCAUGAGUGUGUUAAAUGUAAUUUGAAAAUAAAAAAUAAACAUAUAGUUGAAUGCAUAUUUGAAAUAUAUCCAAUACAUUUUUUUAAAUAAACCAGUGGUUUCUAGUUAUAUACAUUUUUUAAGUAUUUGAUUUUAGAGUUGCAGUCAAAAUACUGCAUUGCAUCUUUAUUUGGUAUAGGAAAACCCACAGAAACCUUUUACAAAUGAACAGGAUCUCUAAAAAACAAUAAAAGGUUAUACACAAGAGUUAUAUUAGAAAACGUUUAGUUACAUUUAAAAAGCAUUUAAAAUGUAUCUGGGAAUGAUAAAAAAAAUACAAAUCUGUAAUUAACUAAAUCAACUAUGGGUCUGUUAAAAACAAGUGCAUAUACGUAUUUAUUUUUAUUGAACUUUAAUGUUGUUAAUCUGGUUUGUCUGUCAGGUGACCGGGGACGGAUUGUGUCAAGAAAAAUGAUUGCUAUCAUAAAAGUCAUUGCCUAUGUUAAACGAUAAUUUAUCACUGUAUGCACAGAUGCUGUAUUUGUUAUGCACACAAAAUAAAAUGUGCUACUUCAUUGCA